rnacentral:rRNA from 1 species
CGAGGGUGCAAGCGUUAAUCGGAAUUACUGGGCGUAAAGCGUGUGUAGGCGGCUACGUAAGUCGGAUGUGAAAGCCCUGGGCUCAACCUGGGAAUUGCAUUCGAUACUGCGUAGCUAGAGUUUGAUAGAGGUAAGUGGAAUUCCGGGUGUAGCGGUGAAAUGCGUAGAUAUCCGGAGGAACAUCAGUGGCGAAGGCGGCUUACUGGAUCAAAACUGACGCUGAGGCUCGAAAGCGUGGGGAGCAAACAGGAUUAGAGACCCGAGUAGUCC